rnacentral:rRNA from 1 species
AUCGUAACUCCUACGGGAGGCAGCAGUGGGGAAUUUUGGACAAUGGGGGCAACCCUGAUCCAGCAAUGCCGCGUGAGUGAAGAAGGCCUUCGGGUAGUAAAGCUCUUUUGUCAGGGAAGAAACGGUAGUAGCUAAUAUCUAUUACUAAUGACGGUACCUGAAGAAUAAGCACCGGCUAACUACGUGCCAGCAGCCGCGGUAAUACGUAGGGUGCAAGCGUUAAUCGGAAUUACUGGGCGUAAAGCGUGCGCAGGCGGUUGUGUAAGUCAGAUGUGAAAUCCCCGGGCUCAACCUGGGAAUUGCAUUUGAGACUGCACGGCUAGAGUGUGUCAGAGGGGGGUAGAAUUCCACGUGUAGCAGUGAAAUGCGUAGAUAUGUGGAGGAAUACCGAUGGCGAAGGCAGCCCCCUGGGAUAACACUGACGCUCAUGCACGAAAGCGUGGGGAGCAAACAGGAUUAGAAACCCGAGUAGUCCUAGAGC